AAGACUAUAGACCUGCGGAGUACCUGCGGAGGGAUCAUUACAAGUAAUAAGUACCCAGUACCUAUUAUAAACCCAUCCGUGUAUCUUACCCGUUGCUUCCGUGGCGCGGCGCACCGCCCUGGCGGGGCUCCCCCACGGGAGGUACACACCAAAAACAUUGCAUUGCCAUGAUAUCUGUCUGAAAUGAAAACAACAAAAGUUAAAACUUUCAGCAAUGGAUCUCUAGAUCGGAAGAGCACA
rnacentral:misc_RNA from 1 species